UACGAAGGGGGCUAGCGUUGCUCGGAAUCGCUGGGCGUAAAGGGUGCGUAGGCGGGUCUUUAAGUGAGGGGUGAAAUCCUGGAGCUCAACUCCAGAACUGCCUUUGAUACUGAAGAUCUUGAGUUCGGGAGAGGUGAGUGGAACUGCGAGUGUAGAGGUGAAAUUCGUAGAUAUUCGCAAGAACACCAGUGGCGAAGGCGGCUCACUGGCCCGAUACUGACGCUGAGGCACGAAAGCGUGGGGAGCAAACAGG
rnacentral:rRNA from 1 species